AACGAUGGAUAUCUUGGUUCCCGUAACGAUGAAGAACGCAGCGAAGUGCGAUAAGCAGUGCGAAUUGCAGAACCGUGAGUCAUCAGAUUUUUGAACGCAGUUGGCGCC
rnacentral:rRNA from 1 species